GACUGACGUUUGACAUUCGAUUGAGUGUGUUCUGUGUUCCAUUAUUCCAUUUGUUUAUGUUUUUAUUCUUUGUUUAUAUAAUUUAUAACCUAGACAGUUUUGUUUUUAAAUAAAACUGAAACUGUGUCUAAACUAAAAUGGAUAAUAUUCUUGAAGAAUUUUUGUUUGGGGACGAAAUUAGCAAAUGCCGUUAUACAUUUAGCAGAUGUACCUACCUCAAAUUAUUCCAAAAGGAUGAGAUGACAUUAAAUAUAUAUAAACCAUAAUUCAAUAUCCAAUUUAGAGAACAUUUUCGUAUGUCCAGAACUACUUUCCAGGAACUAUUUAAUUGUAUUGAUCAUAUCCACCAAUUUGAAAACAGAAUAAUUCUAUUGGAAAAAAUUAAUGUUUAUGAUUUGGAUGCUAAGUAAACCAGAGAAUUUGUUGCUGGGGAUACGUUUGGUUUGCCAAAGAGCUCUGGACAUAAGAUUUUCACCCAAAUAAUAUAGAAUUACAAAAAA
rnacentral:lncRNA from 1 species